GCUGUUGCAUAUAGUGCUGGGGUGGACCUGGUUUCAGGACACCAGGGAGCCUGGGGUCAGCUCACAAAACCCCCCUUGUUCCUUUUCCAUCUUCCUUUAGAAACCUAAAGAUGUAAUGUUCUCCGGGUCAUCAGCAGCAGACUUUAUUUUGACUUCAGGUCAUUCACUGUUGAGCUCUGGAGUUGGCUCCCAUUGUGUUAGGCUCUCAUUGCUGUUUUCCCAUCUUGUAUUAUCUGCGCCUUUUGACCCUAAGUGCUUUCGAUCUCAUCAAGAACUCAGAAGUGAUUCUUACCCUUUUUUCAAGACAAAAGGGACCUUGUUUUUCACACUCUAUCAGAUGCACCUAAUUAGGGGCCGUGCCCAAGUUCAUGAAGAGGAUCAAGGUUCCAGACUACAAGGACCGGAGUGUGUUUGGGGUCCCACUGACGGUCAACGUGCAGCGCACAGGACAACCGUUGCCUCAGAGCAUCCAGCAGGCCAUGCGAUACCUCCGGAAUCAUUGUUUGGAUCAGGUUGGGCUCUUCAGAAAAUCGGGGGUCAAGUCCCGGAUUCAGGCUCUGCGCCAGAUGAAUGAAGGUGCCAUAGACUGUGUCAACUACGAAGGACAGUCUGCUUAUGACGUGGCAGACAUGCUGAAGCAGUAUUUUCGAGAUCUUCCUGAGCCACUAAUGACGAACAAACUCUCGGAAACCUUUCUACAGAUCUACCAGUAUGUGCCCAAGGACCAGCGCCUGCAGGCCAUCAAGGCUGCCAUCAUGCUGCUGCCUGACGAGAACCGGGAGGUUCUGCAGACCCUGCUUUAUUUCCUGAGCGAUGUCACAGCAGCCGUAAAAGAAAACCAGAUGACCCCAACCAACCUGGCCGUGUGCUUAGCGCCUUCCCUCUUCCAUCUUAACACCCUGAAGAGAGAGAAUUCCUCUCCCAGGGUAAUGCAAAGAAAACAAAGUUUGGGCAAACCAGAUCAGAAAGAUUUGAAUGAAAACCUAGCUGCCACUCAAGGGCUGGCCCAUAUGAUCGCCGAGUGCAAGAAGCUUUUCCAGGUUCCCGAGGAAAUGAGCCGAUGUCGUAAUUCCUAUACCGAACAAGAGCUCAAGCCCCUCACUCUGGAAGCACUCGGGCACCUGGGUAAUGAUGACUCAGCUGACUACCAACACUUCCUCCAGGACUGUGUGGAUGGCCUGUUUAAAGAAGUCAAAGAGAAGUUUAAAGGCUGGGUCAGCUACUCCACUUCAGAGCAGGCUGAGCUGUCCUAUAAGAAGGUGAGCGAAGGACCCCCUCUGAGGCUUUGGAGGUCAAUCAUUGAAGUCCCUGCUGUGCCAGAGGAAAUCUUAAAGCGCCUACUUAAAGAACAGCACCUCUGGGAUGUAGACCUGUUGGAUUCAAAAGUGAUCGAAAUUCUGGACAGCCAAACUGAAAUUUACCAGUAUGUCCAAAACAGUAUGGCACCUCAUCCUGCUCGAGACUACGUUGUUUUAAGAACCUGGAGGACUAAUUUACCCAAAGGAGCCUGUGCCCUUUUACUAACCUCCGUGGAUCACGAUCGGGCACCUGUGGUGGGUGUGAGGGUUAAUGUGCUCUUGUCCAGGUAUUUGAUUGAACCCUGUGGGCCAGGAAAAUCCAAACUCACCUACAUGUGCAGAGUUGACUUAAGGGGCCACAUGCCAGAAUGGUACACAAAAUCUUUUGGACAUUUGUGUGCAGCUGAAGUUGUAAAGAUCCGGGAUUCCUUCAGUAACCAGAACACUGAAACCAAAGACACCAAAUCUAGGUGAUCACUGAAGCAAAGCAACCGCUUCCACCACCAUGGUGUUUGUUUCUAGAACUUUUGCCAGUCCUUGAAGAAUGGGUUCUGUGUCUAAUCCUGAAACAAAGAAAACUACAAGCUGGAGUGUAGGAAUUGACUAUAGCAAUUUGAUACAUUUUUAAAGCUGCUUCCUGUUUGUUGAGGGUCUGUAUUCAUAGACCUUGACUGGAAUAUGUAAGACUGUGCAAAAAAAAAAAAAAAAAAUGUGUAUUCUUAUUCAAA
rnacentral:sRNA from 1 species